rnacentral:tRNA from 2 species
GUAAAGAUAGUUUAAUAUAAAAUGAAUAUUUGAAAAAUAUUCGAUAGGUCAUCGUAUCUUCUUUACA